CGCCCAGACUCCUACGGGAGGCAGCAGUGGGGAAUAUUGGGCAAUGGGCGCAAGCCUGACCCAGCAACGCCGCGUGAAGGAAGAAGGCUUUCGGGUUGUAAACUUCUUUUAAGAGGGAAGAGCAGAAGACGGUUCCUCUUGAAUAAGCCACGGCUAACUACGUGCCAGCAGCCGCGGUAAUACGUAGGUGGCAAGCGUUGUCCGGAUUUACUGGGUGUAAAGGGCGUGUAGCCGGGCUGACAAGUCAGAUGUGAAAUUCCGGGGCUCAACCCCGGACCUGCAUUUGAAACUGUUGGUCUUGAGUACCGGAGAGGCAGGCGGAAUUCCUAGUGUAGCGGUGAAAUGCGUAGAUAUUAGGAGGAACACCAGUGGCGAAGGCGGCCUGCUGGACGACAACUGACGGUGAGGCGCGAAAGCAUGGGGAGCGAACAGGAUUAGAUACCCGCGUA
rnacentral:rRNA from 1 species